AUAUUUACCUGGCAGAGGAGAUUACACAGUCAGGAAGGUGGUUUUCCCAGGGCAAGGUUUAUCCAUUGCACUCAGGGAAUGCUGACCCCUGCGAUCCCCCCAAAUGUGGGAAAGUCCACUGCACAAUCUGUGGUGGUGGGAGGCUGCGUUCACAGUGUGCG